UCAGAAUUAAUGAUGGUACAUUGCUGCUAAUGACUUUGUGUCAUUCGUCCUUUAAUUUUCAGGUUUGGAUCAUGAUAUAAACCUACAUGGAUACAAAAUAGAAACUUGGAAUCCUGAAAAUUCACCUCAAAAAAUAAGAAUACCAUUGUCUUUGGUUGACCCAUUUGUUACAUAGCCUCAACUAAACCCUGGUCAACAAAAUGAAUGCAAAUAUAUGUUAUGAGAAAACUGAUACAUGGAAAACCUGAUUAACUGCUUCACUCAACCCUGGCGACCAACAUAGGGUUAUACCAGAUCCUGGUGGCUUGCAUUCAGAGGCUACAUUAAUGAGAUGCUCAAAAAUAUGCCUGACUUCCCAUGUAGUCUGCAGAGGUUGAUGGGUACUCUGUUCAGUGACUACUCCAUCAAUGAGUAGACGCAAUAAGUGACUAAUGUUAAGAAUGUAAAUUACCAGAAAGGGGAAAAAAUGGGUUAGUUUUGAUUUUCUCAAGGUUCAAGAUGCCGAAUUAUUGAAUUUUGCUGAGUUUAUCUCAGAGUACUAAAAGUAAGAUAUUUACAUGCUUUCUGUGAAUUGACACAAAUCAUGUAAGUAUGACAUAUAAAUUAAAUUAGCCAAGAUAACCAAUACGUACCUAAGUUUGAAUCAUAUACUGAUUCCAUGAAAAUGUUAUCAAUAAAAUUAGAAUCUUGCAUUGGUUGAAAUGCUAAAUAUUUGAUUACAUACACACAUAUUUACACACAAAGGAUUUUUCUGCAUUAAUAUUUAAGUAAGUUUCUUUAAAAAUAAAUCAAUUGUGAAGAUUUCUAAUUUUAAUUGUG